rnacentral:rRNA from 1 species
UAUGAACGCUGGCGGCGUGCCUAAUACAUGCAAGUCGAGCGAACGGACGAGAAGCUUGCCUCUCUGAUGUUAGCGGCGGACGGGUGAGUAACACGUGGAUAACCUACCUAUAAGACUGGGAUAAUUUCGGGAAACCGGAGCUAAUACCGGAUAAUAUUUUGAACCGCAUGGUUCAAAAGUAAAAGACGGUCUUGCUGUCACUUAUAGAUGGAUCCGCGCUGCAUUAGCUAGUUGGUAAGGUAACGGCUUACCAAGGCAACGAUGCAUAGCCGACCUGAGAGGGUGAUCGGCCACACUGGAACUGAGACACGGUCCAGACUCCUACGGGAGGCAGCAGUAGGGAAUCUUCCGCAAUGGGCGAAAGCCUGACGGAGCAACGCCGCGUGAGUGAUGAAGGUCUUCGGAUCGUAAAACUCUGUUAUUAGGGAAGAACAUAUGUGUAAGUAACUGUGCACAUCUUGACGGUACCUAAUCAGAAAGCCACGGCUAACUACGUG